UAUGAUUAAGAAUUUAACGUCCAUUCAUGCUUUUGAUAAUAUUAGUUUCACCUAAGGAAUUAGGGUGCUAUAUUAGAUAAACGAGAUUGAUGAGCCAAGGAAUUGGACUCGGUCUAUUUUGUUAAAUUAUCGUAAUUAUAAGAAUUUUAUUGUUGAGGGCUAGAACCUAGAGUACCAGAUAGGGACAAAGAGAUGAUUCAAAAUAAUUUCUAAUUGUCUUUCUCUCAUAAAAGUUCACGUUUCAACUUUCUUGCAAUUUUAAUUAUUGUCAUUGUUACUACAAAUCAAUCUGAAAACCCCCCUUUGCAAUUUAUUUAUUAAUCCUAAAUUCAUUGAAUUGUUUCGUUGAAAUAAGAACAAUCCCUGUGGAUACGAAUCUUAUAAAUUUUAUUACUUAACGACGA
rnacentral:lncRNA from 1 species